rnacentral:pre_miRNA from 1 species
AUUGCGGGGAAUGUUGUCUGGCUCGAGGAAUCAAAAAUUGUUUCUUAUAGAUAGAUCUGUAUAUUUUGUUUAUAGAUCUAUAAUGUUUUUGAUGUCGUCGGACCAGGCUUCAUUCCCCACAAU